CCUUUGUGGAGCAGCACUAGUAGAGACUCCUGCCACUUUAUUUUCUUGUUCUCUUUGCUUUCUUCUUUGAUUUCUUCAUAGCUCUCUUCAGGUUAUGCUGGCCUAACUCCUCAGGUGACAUCGCUUCUCUCUUUCUCCUUUUUCUUCUUUCUUUACUACUUGUUCAUCCAUUUGUUGCUUGCUUUUAUCUUUCACUGGUCUACCCAUC
rnacentral:lncRNA from 1 species